UGCUGGUGUAGAGUAAUUUAAGUGUUUAUUUUAGGAUGAUGGACUCCCUGAGUGUACAACGGUUGAGUGUCCAACUAUCCCGGCGGCACGUCGGUUUAGGUUUCGAUUCGUCAUUGGCUCGCUGCGCCUUCUCAUUGGUUGAAUCUAGAGACAUGUGACCGUUUGUCCUCUUCCACACUACGCAGCAAACUGUUUCGGCAGAGACGGUUGACUAGAGAGGAUCGAAUCAAUAUCGCCAAGGAAUUGCUCCGAGUGAGCGAAGACAUUUUUGAACUUCAUGGGAAUGUAAACAGGUUGGGAUAGUGACAUGGCCUCACUUCUCCUGCUGGUCUACCUCCUGCCACCACCUCCAAGUGGAAAGAAGGGAGCUGUCAAAAUCAGUAUCCGGGAAGCUGUGGAUCGUGUAGUGAAGUUUCACAGGGUAAUUGUAUCCUGAUAAUUUUUAUUUUAUUUUUAAAGGUCCCAUGGCAUGCCGCCAGAGCUUGUGUGUUGCUGAUGGAUGUCACAAUCUCUGUGUUGGCCAAUCUACUUAUCGAGUCUUGAAAACAAAAUGGCGUCGACGGGUGAUCUACUGAUGGUAUUGUGUGUAUAAAAUGUACUUUUUAAUAAACAAUCUGUACACUUACAAA